rnacentral:rRNA from 1 species
AGUGAACGCUGGCGGCGUGCUUAACACAUGCAAGUCGAACGAGAACGGAAUAUAGCUUGCUAUAUUUGUCAGCUAAGUGGCGCACGGGUGAGUAAUGUAUAGAUAACCUGCCCUUAAGAAAGGAAUAACAGUUGGAAACGACUGCUAAUGCCCUAUAUGCCUUUAAUACAUAAGUAUGCAAGGGAAACGCUUUAGUGCUUAAGGAUGGGUCUGUAUGGUAUCAGCUUGUUGGUGAGGUAAUGGCUCACCAAGGCUAUGACGCCUAACUGGUUUUAGAGGAUGAUCAGUCACACGGGAACUGAGACACGGUCCAGACUCCUACGGGAGGCAGCAGUGGGGAAUAUUGCACAAUGGACGAAAGUCUGAUGCAGCAACGCCGCGUGGAGGAUGACACAUUUCGGUGCGUAAACUCCUUUUAUAUAGGAAGAUAAUGACGGUACUAUAUGAAUAAGCCCCGGCUAACUCCGUGCCAGCCGCCGCAGUAA